rnacentral:lncRNA from 1 species
GCAUCGACUACUCUAGACUUGGUGGUAGAGGUAAGUUUGACGAGCACCAACAUGCAUCUUGUAGACAUAGACAUAUAUCUGUUCUCAGCAACUUGGCCUCUGUUAUCUCUGCACAUGUUAAUCCUGUAUAUGCGUCCAUGAAACACAAAUAAACAAAGGCAAUGAUUUCAUUUGAAAAAUCCACCAGACAUCAAACCUGUAAUACUCACUUUACUGUAUUCCCAGGCCUGCGAAGGCAAGAACAGAUGCGCGAUCAGUGUUACCAACGAAGUAUUCGGAGAUCCAUGCCGCAAAGUCGUCAAGGAUUUGGCAGUUGAAGCCGAGUGCUCCCCGCCAUCGG